rnacentral:rRNA from 1 species
CAGCAGCCGCGGGAAUACGUAGGUCCCGAGCGUUGUCCGGAUUUAUUGGGCGUAAAGCGAGCGCAGGCGGUUAGAUAAGUCUGAAGUUAAAGGCUGUGGCUUAACCAUAGUACGCUUUGGAAACUGUUUAACUUGAGUGCAAGAGGGGAGAGUGGAAUUCCGUGUGUAGCGGUGAAGUGCGUAGAUAUAUGGAGGAACGCCGGUGGCGAAAGCGGCUCUCUGACUUGUAACUGACGCUGAGGCUCGAAAGCGUGGGGAGCAAACAGGAUUAGAUACCCCCGUAGUCCCUGUCUCUUAUACA